GACGAACGCUGGCGGCGUGCUUAACACAUGCAAGUCGAACGGUAAGGCUCCAGCUUGCUGGGCUACACGAGUGGCGAACGGGUGGGUAACACGUGGGUGACCUGCCCCGCACUUCGGGAUAAGCCUGGGUAACUGGGUCUAAUACCGGGUCGGACCGCACCGUGAGGGUGUGGUGGACCGUCUUUCGGUGUGGGAUGGGCGCGCGGACUAUCAGCUUGUUGGUGGGGUAAUGGCCUACCAAGGCGGCGACGGGUAGCCGGCCUGAGAGGGGAGACGGCCACAUUGGGACUGAGACACGGCCCAGACUCCUACGGGAGGCAGCGGUGGGGAAUAGUGCACAAUGGGCGGAAGCCUGAUGCAGCGACGCCGCGUGGGGGAUGACGGCCUGCGGGUUGUAAACUACUUUCACCACCGACGAAGGUUUUCUGACGGUAGAUGGAGAAGAAGCACCGGCUAACUACGUG
rnacentral:rRNA from 1 species